CGUGGAUCGAUUUGUCUGGUUUAUUCCGAUAACGAGCGAGACUCUAGCCUACUAAAUAGUUACGGAAUUAUUCACAGUUCCGCUUGCUUCUUAGAGGGAUUUUCGGUGUUUAGCCGCACGAGAUUGAGCAAUAACAGGUCUGUGAUGCCCUUAGAUGUCCGGGGCUGCACGCGCGCUACACUGGCGAAAUCAGCGUGCUGUAUCCAUUCUCGAAAGGGAUUGGUAAACCCAUGAAAAUUUGCCGUGCUUGGGAUCGGAAAUUGCAAUUAUUUUCCGUGAACGAGGAAUUCCAAGUAAGUGCGAGUCAUCAACUCGCUCUGAAUACGUCCCUGCCCUUUGUAC
rnacentral:rRNA from 1 species